rnacentral:rRNA from 1 species
GGACUACACGGGUAUCUAAUCCUGUUUGCUCCCCACGCUUUCGUAGUUGAGUGUCAGUGCCCGUCCAGGUCGCCGCCUUCGCCUCUGGUGUUCCUCCCGAUCUCUACGCAUUUCACCGCUACACCGGGAAUUCCACGACCCUCUCCGGGACUCCAGUCUCACCGUUUCUGGGGCACUUCUUGAGUUAAGCCCAAGGCUUUCACCCCAGACAAAUGAGACCACCUACCUACCCUUUACGCCCAAUAAUUCCGAGCAACGCUUGCACCCCUCGUAUUACCGCGGCUGCUGGCAC